CAACUUUGAACCGGGAAUUAC
rnacentral:rRNA from 1 species